GUGCCAGCAGCCGCGGUAAGACAGAGGAUGCAAACGUUGUUCGGAAUCACUGGGCAUAAAGCGCACGUAGGCGGUCUGUUAAGUCAGGUGUGAAAUCCCCCGGCUCAACUGGGGAAUGGCAUUUGAUACUGGCAGGCUAGAGAACGGUAGGGGUGAGUGGAACUCCAGGUGGAGCGGUGAAAUGCGUAGAUAUCUGGAGGAACACCGGUGGCGAAAGCGGCUCACUGGACCGUCACUGACGCUGAGGUGCGAAAGCUAGGGUAGCAAACGGGAUUAGAUACCCCGGUAGUCC
rnacentral:rRNA from 1 species